rnacentral:rRNA from 1 species
GUGGGGAAUUUUGGACAAUGGGGGAAACCCUGAUCUAGCCAUGCCGCGUGAGCGAUGAAGGCCUUAGGGUUGUAAAGCUCUUUCAGCUGGGAAGAUAAUGACGGUACCAGCAGAAGAAGCCCCGGCUAACUCCGUGCCAGCAGCCGCGGUAAUACGGAGGGGGCUAGCGUUGGUCGGAAUUACUGGGCGUAAAGCGCACGUAGGCGGAUCAGAAAGUCAGAGGUGAAAUCCCAGGGCUCAACCUUGGAACUGCCUUUGAAACUCCUGGUCUUGAGGUCGAGAGAGGUGAGUGGAAUUCCGAGUGUAGAGGUGAAAUUCGUAGAUAUUCGGAGGAACACCAGUGGCGAAGGCGGCUCACUGGCUCGAUACUGACGCUGAGGUGCGAAAGCGUGGGGAGCAAACAGGAUUAGAUACCCCGGUAGUCC